GGGGGAAUAGCUCAGUGCUAGAGGAUCUGCUUUGCAUGCAGACAGUCCCAGGUUCGAUCCUAUGUGUCUCCA